UUUCCUUUUCUUUUCCCCCGACUCUCUCUCUCUUUUUCCUCCCUCGACGAACAGAUGAGAACAGAUGAAUCUCUUCUGAUUCUUCCUUUUUCAUAGAUUUCAAUCGAUUCACCUUGAUUUUUCCGGAAAUCGAUCUCCGAUGGACUUACGGGGACGGCGAAGGGUACCGGCAAGCAAGACGAGAGGAGCUAUAGAGUUGGAUGUAAUCGAACACUGUCUUGGCCAUGGAUUUAUGUUGAUGAUAUUUCCAUGGCUGUGUUUGAUGCGAUGAGCCUUUGACUCCACUUAACAAAGCUGCCGAUGAUCUCUCUUAGCCAGCCAAGAAGUAGGAUUUGCCUUUCCAUUAUAGUUGCUAUACAUUGAAAACUAACUAGGUGCAAAAACAAACCUAAAGGCAAGGUUCCAGUUCUGUUUGUUCAGUUGACUUCGUGGACUCCAGGAGGCUGCUUGCAGAUCUCAAACCCAAAGGCAAGGUUCCUGUUCUGUUUACCCUUGAGCUCAAAUUAGGAUUCACUUGGCGGUUUUGCUAACAGAUUGUAAAUUCAUGAUCAUGAGCUGGAGGUAAAAUUAUGAUGGCUGGAGGUGAAUUAGCUGAGCUACGCUUUGCAAGUAUCUUUUGUUUUUCUUCUUAGCUCUACCACUUUAUGUUAAAAAUUGUUGUUCCAUCUCUCUGUGUUUUUAAAACAUACUUUUGCAGGUCUUUGAUGAAUGGAACGACCAACGUUAGCAAGAAUCUACCACAAUUACUCGCUCUUCAUACUCUUUUACUGACAUUAUAGCUGAGUGAAAUUCAUAUGUAUUAAUAUACAAGAAUUAAAAAAAAAUAUAUAUAUUUUAAUAACUGAGAAACCUAUGAAGAUUUCUCUAGUGGAAGGAUAAAUUUUGUUUAAGUACUUAGUAGGUUGCUUUGAUUAAUUUAAUAAAAUUAUAUGAUUAAUUUAUUUUUGUAGGUU